UACGGAGGGUGCAAGCGUUAUUCGGAAUUACUGGGCGUAAAGCGCGUGUAGGCUGCUCGGAAAGUCGGAUGUGAAAGCCCUGGGCUUAACCCAGGAAGUGCAUUCGAAACUUCCGAGCUCGAGUCCUGGAGAGGGUGGCGGAAUUCUCGGUGUAGAGGUGAAAUUCGUAGAUAUCGAGAGGAACACCGGUGGCGAAGGCGGCUACCUGGACAGUGACUGACGCUGAGACGCGAAAGCGUGGGGAGCAAACAGG
rnacentral:rRNA from 1 species